rnacentral:rRNA from 1 species
AACGAACGCUGGCGGCAUGCCUAACACAUGCAAGUCGAACGAUGCUUUCGGGCAUAGUGGCGCACGGGUGCGUAACGCGUGGGAAUCUGCCCUUGGGUUCGGAAUAACCGUUGGAAACGACGGCUAAUACCGGAUGAUGUCGAUAAGACCAAAGAUUUAUCGCCUGAGGAUGAGCCCGCGUAGGAUUAGCUAGUUGGUGUGGUAAGAGCGCACCAAGGCGACGAUCCUUAGCUGGUCUGAGAGGAUGAUCAGCCACACUGGGACUGAGACACGGCCCAGACUCCUACGGGAGGCAGCAGUGGGGAAUAUUGGACAAUGGGCGCAAGCCUGAUCCAGCAAUGCCGCGUGAGUGAUGAAGGCCUUAGGGUUGUAAAGCUCUUUUACCCGGGAUGAUAAUGACAGUACCGGGAGAAUAAGCUCCGGCUAACUCCGUGCCAGCCGCCGCCGUAA